GCUGCGGUGUCCGAGUGGUUAAGGAGAUGGACUUGAAUUCUAUGGGGCUUUGCCCGCACAGGUUCGAAUCCUGUCCGCAGCG
rnacentral:tRNA from 1 species